rnacentral:rRNA from 1 species
CGUGGAGACAGGUGGUGCAUGGCUGUCGUCAGCUCGUGUCGUGAGAUGUUGGGUUGAGUCCCGCAACGAGCGCAACCCUCACCUCUUGUUGCCAUCAGGUCAUGCUGGGCACUCUGGAGGAACUGCCCCGGUCAACGGGGAGGAAGGCGGGGAUGACGUCAAGUCAUCAUGCCCCUUACGUCCUGGGCUACACACGUGCUACAAUGGCCGGUACAAAGGGAUGCCACACCGCGAGGUAGAGCUAAACCCAAAAAGCCGGUCUAAGUUCAGAUUGGAGUCUGCAACUCGACUCCAUGAAGGAGGAAUCGCUAGUAAUCGCGUAUCAGCACGACGCGGUGAAUACGUUCCCGGGCCUUGUACACACCGCCCGUCACACCACGAAAGCCUGCUGUACUCGAAGUCGCUGAG